AUUAAGCCAUGCAGGUCUAAGUGCACACGGUCGGUACAGCGAAACUGCGAAUGGCUCAUUAAAUCAGUUAUGGUUCCUUUGAUCGCUCCAACCGCUACUUGGAUAACUGUGGCAAUUCCAGAGCUAAUACAUGCAAACGAGCGCCGACCCGGCCCUCUCGGGGGUCGGGGACGCGUGCAUUUAUCAGAUCCAAAACCCAUCCGGGUGCGUCCGGGCGGUCUCGGCCGUCCGGUCCCCCGGCCGCUUUGGUGACUCUAGAUAACCUCGGGCCGAUCGCGCGCCCUCCGCGGCGGCGACGACUCAUUCGAAUGUCUGCCCUAUCAACUUUCGAUGGUACAUUCGGCGCCUACCAUGGUGACCACGGGUAACGGGGAAUCAGGGUUCGAUUCCGGAGAGGGAGCCUGAGAAACGGCUACCACAUCCAAGGAAGGCAGCAGGCGCGCAAAUUACCCAUUUCCGACACGGAGAGGUA
rnacentral:rRNA from 1 species